GUAACGGCGAGUGAAGCGGCAAAAGCUCAAAUUUGAAAUCUGGCCCCCCCCGCGGGGGUCCGAGUUGUAAUUUGCAGAGGAUGCUUUGGGCGCGGCGCCUUCCGAGUGCCUUGGAACAGGUCGCCUCAGAGGGUGAGAGCCCCGUACGGUUGGACGCCUAGCCCGUGUAAAGCUCCUUCAACGAGUCGAGUAGUUUGGGAAUGCUGCUCAAAAUGGGAGGUAAAUUCCUUCUAAAGCUAAAUACUGGCCAGAGACCGAUAGCGCACAAGUAGAGUGAUCGAAAGGUGAAAAGCACUUUGAAAAGAGAGUCAAAUAGCACGUGAAAUUGUUAAAAGGGAAGCGUCUGCGACCAGACGCGCCGCCCGCGGCUCACCCGGCGCCUCGGCGCCGGGGCACGCCGCGGGCGUCGGGCCAGCAUCGGCUCUGCCGUGGGUACAAGGACCGCGGGAACGUAGCUCCCUCGUGGAGUGUUAUAGCCCGCGGCACCAUGCCCGCGGCGGGGCCGAGG
rnacentral:rRNA from 1 species